rnacentral:misc_RNA from 1 species
CAGCUGCGGGUCCAGGAGCUGUAAGAGGAUGUCGACGAGCACCUCCGUACCACCGGCAAAACGAACAA